GUGAGGAAUUUUCCGCAAUGGGCGAAAGCCUGACGGAGCAAUGCCGCGUGAAGGAUGAAGGCCUAUGGGUUGUAAACUUCUUUUCUCAGAAAAGAAUUAUGACGGUAUCUGAGGAAUAAGCAUCGGCUAACUCUGCGCCAGCAGCCGCGGUAAGACAGAGGAUGCAAGCGUUAUCCGGAAUGAUUGGGCGUAAAGCGUCUGUAGGUUGUUUAAAAAGUAUUCUGUCAAAGAUUAGGGCUUAACCCUAGAUAGGCAGAAUAAACUUUUAAGCUAGAGUUUGGUAGAGGCAGAGGGAAUUCCCGGUGGAGCGGUGAAAUGCGUAGAUAUCGGGAGGAACACCAAAGGCGAAGGCACUCUGCUGGGCCAAUACUAACACUGAGAGACGAAAGCGAGGGGAGCAAAUGGGAUUAGAUACCCGGGUAGUCC
rnacentral:rRNA from 1 species